rnacentral:rRNA from 1 species
GAUGAACGCUAGCGGCAGGCUUAACACAUGCAAGUCGAGGGGUAGAGGAAGCUUGCUUCCUUGAGACCGGCGCACGGGUGCGUAACGCGUAUGCAAUCUACCUUAUACAGGGGAUAGCCCAGAGAAAUUUGGAUUAAUACCCCAUAGUAUAAUUGAAUGGCAUCAUUUAAUUAUUAAAGUUCCAACGGUAUAAGAUGAGCAUGCGUCCCAUUAGCUAGUUGGUGUGGUAACGGCACACCAAGGCGACGAUGGGUAGGGGUCCUGAGAGGGAGAUCCCCACACUGGUACUGAGACACGGACCAGACUCCUACGGGAGGCAGCAGUGAGGAAUAUUGGUCAAUGGGCGCAAGCCUGAACCAGCCAUGCCGCGUGCAGGAUGACGGUCCUAUGGAUUGUAAACUGCUUUGUACAGGAAGAAACACUCCCUCGUGAGGAGCUUGACGGUACUGUAAGAAUAAGGAUCGGCUAAACUCCGUGCCAGCAG